rnacentral:rRNA from 1 species
UACGUAGGGGGCGAGCGUUGUCCGGAAUUACUGGGCGUAAAGCGCACGUAGGUGGCGCGCUAAGAUGGGUGUGAAAUCCCCGGGCUUACCUCGGGGGGGUCAUCCGUGACUGGUGCGCUAGGGUCUGGUAGAGGCAUGUGGAAUUCCCGGUGGAGCGGUGAAAUGCGUAGAGAUCGGGAGGAACACCAGUGGCGAAGGCGACAUGCUGGGCCAGUACCGACGCUGAGGUGCGAAAGCGUGGGGAGCGAACCGG